rnacentral:rRNA from 1 species
GACGGGUGAGUAAUGUCUGGGAAGCUGCCUGAUGGAGGGGGAUAACUACUGGAAACGGUAGCUAAUACCGCAUGACCUCGAAAGAGCAAAGUGGGGGAUCUUCGGACCUCACGCCAUCGGAUGUGCCCAGAUGGGAUUAGCUAGUAGGUGAGGUAAUGGCUCACCUAGGCGACGAUCCCUAGCUGGUCUGAGAGGAUGACCAGCCACACUGGAACUGAGACACGGUCCAGACUCCUACGGGAGGCAGCAGUGGGGAAUAUUGCACAAUGGGCGCAAGCCUGAUGCAGCCAUGCCGCGUGUGUGAAGAAGGCCUUAGGGUUGUAAAGCACUUUCAGCGAGGAGGAAGGCACCAUACUUAAUACGUGUGGUGAUUGACGUUACUCGCAGAAGAAGCACCGGCUAACUCCGUGCCAGCAGGCGCGGUAAUACGGAGGGUGCAAGCGUAAUCGGAAUUACUGGGCGUACAGCGCACGCAGGCGGUUUGUUAAGUCAGAUGUGAAAUCCCCGCGCUUAACGUGGGAACUGCAUUUGAAACUGGCAAGUAGAGUCUUGUAGAGGGGGUAGAUUCCAGGUGUAGCGGUAAUGCGUA